rnacentral:rRNA from 1 species
ACCUAGGGACGCACCAGUGGGGAAUUUUGCGCAAUGCUCGUAAGAGUGACGCAGCGACGCCGCGUGAAUGACGAAGGCCUUCUGGUCGUAAAGUUCAUUCGACAGGGAAGAAAAUGCCUAUAAGUAACUGUGUAUGUAUUUACGGUACCUGUAUAAGCAGCCCCGGCUAACUCCGUGCCAGCAGCCGCGGUAAUACGGAGGGGGCGAGCGUUGUUCGGAGAGUCUGGGCGGAAAGAGCACG